UGAUGAUACUCGAAAUUUCAUACGUAAAGAUACUUUUGACUUCCAGUAUGAAUCCAAGAUGGCCGACCCCCCAUAUGAACGUGAGGUACGUGCAAUUGUAAUAGCAUUAAAAUAUUAAUUUAUAAGGUAAUUAACGCGUGAUCUUUCCGCCAAUUAUCGUAGCAUACUAGGCAAAUACGAUAAGGUCAUAAUUUUGUUGCAAUCCGUCGUGUUGACUGUAAUUGAUCUGAUCGUCGAAUCGUAGCUUGACUCGUUAAUGAAGUUACAUGUAACCGAGCAAUUAAAAAUAAUUUGUUGUUAUGUCCACUCGUUAAACGAGUCGCGAAUGUUUUCGUGUUAUGUACAUCCUUGAUAAAUGCGCGAACAUUAAUUCAAACGCGAGUUGCAGUUAUGUAAGGAAGCACGUGUGUCUCGGGAAAACGUGCCACGUGCUGCAACGUAGUUGCCGGCCGUUUACGUGUGGAAAUAUUUAUUUAUCAAACCUUCAGCAUUUUUAAUAUGGAAAUAUUGUUUAAGUUUCGAAAUUGUAUUCAUCUGUUCAUCUGUUCAUCUGUUAAAACAUAAUUUAUAUUUUUCGAGUCUCUAAAUUUGGCGGGAGAACGCCAUGCACCGAAGUUGCGUGCGCAGCUUUUCCAGUAUCGAACGAACAUUUCGAGAUCGCCGCAAUAGUUCAAGUAUCGCAGAAAAAGUUUCGAGACCGGAAGUAACGUUAUUCUUGACGCGGAGUCUUGUCAGUUGCACGUGCCCACGGAAAUUAGCGAUUAAAGUUCGGAAAACGGUCGUUUUAAGUGAAAAUAUUUGUUUAAAUCAUACGAGCAAUGUAUGACAAGCAUGUACAAGUGAAAAGUGUGUGUUUAUUACAUGAAGAUGGAUUAAACAGAUGUGGAAUUCCUCCGCCUGUUCUACCCUGUCUCGAACGCGUCAUUUAUAGGUAAAGAAGAAAAUUACGUUUCCCGAUGACCGGUAAAAUCAUCCAUCCUCGUCUGACCAGUUGGGAGGAACCGAAUCACCCGGAGGCUCGGGCUGCUACACAACACGUUCUUGGUAGAAGUACACCGGCGGCAACGUAAGGAGUACUUGAAGAUUCCAUGAGACAUGGCCCUUGCCUGCGAAUUUAAGAACACGAGGCGUGUACUUCUGACGU